CCUGUGAACAUACCACUUGUUGCCUCGGCGGAUCAGCCCGCUCCCGGUAAAACGGGACGGCCCGCCAGAGGACCCCUAAACUCUGUUUCUAUAUGUAACUUCUGAGUAAAACCAUAAAUAAAUCAAAACUUUCAACAACGGAUCUCUUGGUUCUGGCAUCGAUGAAGAACGCAGCAAAAUGCGAUAAGUAAUGUGAAUUGCAGAAUUCAGUGAAUCAUCGAAUCUUUGAACGCACAUUGCGCCCGCCAGUAUUCUGGCGGGCAUGCCUGUUCGAGCGUCAUUUCAACCCUCAAGCACAGCUUGGUGUUGGGACUCGCGUUAAUUCGCGUUCCUCAAAUUGAUUGGCGGUCACGUCGAGCUUCCAUAGCGUAGUAGUAAAACCCUCGUUACUGGUAAUCGUCGCGGCCACGCCGUUAAACCCCAACUUCUGAAUGUUGACCUCGGAUCAGGUAGGAAUACCCGCUGAACUUAAGCAUAUCAAA
rnacentral:rRNA from 1 species